rnacentral:rRNA from 1 species
UCUGACGGAGCAACGCCGCGUGAGUGAUGAAGGUUUUCGGAUCGUAAAGCUCUGUUGUUAGGGAAGAACAAGUGCAAGAGUAACUGCUUGCACCUUGACGGUACCUAACCAGAAAGCCACGGCUAACUACGUGCCAGCAGCCGCGGUAAUACGUAGGUGGCAAGCGUUGUCCGGAAUUAUUGGGCGUAAAGGGCUCGCAGGCGGUUUCUUAAGUCUGAUGUGAAAGCCCCCGGCUCAACCGGGGAGGGUCAUUGGAAACUGGGAAACUUGAGUGCAGAAGAGGAGAGUGGAAUUCCACGUGUAGCGGUGAAAUGCGUAGAGAUGUGGAGGAACACCAGUGGCGAAGGCGACUCUCUGGUCUGUAACUGACGCUGAGGAGCGAAAGCGUGGGGAGCGAACAGGAUUAGAUACCCUGGUAGUCCACGCCGUAAACGAUGAGUGCUAAGUGUUAGGGGGUUUCCGCCCCUUAGUGCUGCAGCUAACGCAUUAAGCACUCCGCCUGGGGAGUACGGUCGCAAGACUGAAACUCAAAGGAAUUGACGGGGGCCCGCACAAGCGGUGGAGCAUGUGGUUUAAUUCGAAGCAACGCGAAGAACCUUACCAGGUCUUGACAUCCUCUGACAACCCUAGAGAUAGGGCUUUCCCUUCGGGGACAGAGUGACAGGUGGUGCAUGGUUGUCGUCAGCUCGUGUCGUGAGAUGUUGGGUUAAGUCCCGCAACGAGCGCAACCCUUGAUCUUAGUUGCCAGCAUUUCAGUUGGGCACUCUAAGGUGACUGCCGGUGACAAACCGGAGGAAGGU